UUUGCACUGAUUUUCUCAAGUUCUGCUUUGAAUGCUUUGAGGUUACUCUGUGGUCUUCUGCAAGAGAGCAUAACAUAGAAGGUGUUUUAACCAAUAUUACUGAUGGGAGUGCAAACAGAAACAAGUUGCUAUUCAUUUGGGCUAAAAGUGGCGCAGUAUGCUGCAAAAGGAC